rnacentral:sRNA from 1 species
UAAAAGAUACAAAGCCAAAGACUCAUACUGACUUCGGCUACACCAUUAAAGCUUUGAGAAGCAAUAAGAAGCUUAGUUAGUGUUUUGGAGUCAAAUAUGACUAGAUGUCAUGUGUAUGAUUGAGUAUAGGAACUAGAACCGCAGCCGAUUCCUAAAA